rnacentral:rRNA from 1 species
UACAGAGGUCUCGAGCGUUAAUCGGAGUCACUGGGCUUAAAGGGUGCGUAGGCGGACUCGCAAGUGCUUUGUGAAAUCCCACGGCUCAACCGUGGAAUUGCUCGGCAGAUUGCGGGUCUUGAGGUCGGUAGGGGCCGCCGGAACUCUAGGUGGAGCGGUGAAAUGCGUAGAUAUCUAGAGGAACGCCAAAGGUGAAGACAGGCGGCUGGGCCGAUUCUGACGCUGAGGCACGAAAGCGUGGGGAGCGAACGGG